rnacentral:lncRNA from 10 species
CUAAGGCUGGUGGGGGCGGUGUUGCUCGGGGCUGCGAUGCCCCUUAGGUUGCGGGCAACCAGAGGCCUCACUCGUGGGCAGGAAGCAAGGGCGGACCCCGAGAGAUGACUGAUUGUGGGGGUGGGGACCGUCUGCUCCUCCUAAUGGCUGGGGACCGUGCACGUCUGCGCGGGCCGGACCUGCUCUUCUCGGGAACUUGCGCGGGAGGAGGCCCGGAGCUGCGCCGCUUUACCCUCUGCUCCCCGGUGCCUAAAACGCACACGCAUCAAAGUCACAGGACGAGUUAGAGGGGGGCUCUAAAUGUAAUCACAAGUGUUCCUAUAGGAGAAAGGCAGAGGGAGAUUUGAAACACAGAGGAGGUGAUGAGAAGACACAGCAGAAGAUAUCUGAAGACUGGAAAGAAUGCUGCAACCAACAGGAGAAGGAAAAGACAGAAAUGUGUUUUCCAUUUGGAGCAUCCAGAGGGAGCACAACCAUAUCAACACCUUGAUUUUGAUCCAGUGACAUUGAUUUUGGACUUGUGGCCUCCAG